rnacentral:rRNA from 1 species
UACGUAGGUGGCAAGCGUUGUCCGGAAUUAUUGGGCGUAAAGCGCGCGCAGGCGGUCUCUUAAGUCUGAUGUGAAAGCCCACGGCUCAACCGUGGAGGGUCAUUGGAAACUGGGGGACUUGAGUACAGAAGAGGAGAGUGGAAUUCCACGUGUAGCGGUGAAAUGCGUAGAUAUGUGGAGGAACACCAGUGGCGAAGGCGGCUCUCUGGUCUGUAACUGACGCUGAGGCGCGAAAGCGUGGGGAGCAAACAGG